rnacentral:rRNA from 1 species
UUUCCGUAGGUGAACCUGCGGAAGGAUCAUUCAUGAAGGACAUGCUGGAAUCGAGAUUACUYUUCMAGUCAUUUUUCCUUUUUCGUGCACAUUUUUAACAAACUUUUUUUUUCAAACCCAACCCAAAAACACAAAAUAAACAAACCUAAACAUAAAACUCGUGGCGGUGGAUGUCUAGGCUCCGGUAACGAUGAAGAACGCAGCGAAAUGCGAUACGUAAUGCGAAUUGCAGAACCCGUGAAUCAUCAAAUUUUUGAACGCAAGUGGCGCUCGUGGGCAAUCCUGCGAGCAUGUCUGUUUGAGUGUCCAACGUGAAAGCUAUUUGUUCCCUUUGAACGGUGAAACCUGUUUGGGGAGCUGCUGAUGGGUGUUUGUCCUUGCGAUUCUUUGUUGAAGAAAUUCCGAAGAAAUGCGGGGUCACCUGAAGAAUAGAGUGUCGGGGGGGGGUUUGCGUCUUCGGGCCGAGCUUUGUCUGCUUUCUGUAAAAGGGAAUAUCGGGGCUCCCACAGCGUUGUGAAGUAAUGUAAAAAGUUACGGGAAGCAAGGUUGUUGGGUGUUUGGUACCAGGAAUGGGCAGAAAGUUUGGAGUCUGAGAUUGCGGCUGGCUCACUGGUCUUGAACUAAUCUAACGAUUAAAACACACAUAUUUGGAUCUCAAAUCAGACAAGACGACCCGCUGAAUUUAAG